rnacentral:rRNA from 1 species
AAGUUUGUUCCUGGCUCAGGAUGAACGCUGGCGGUCUGCUUAACACAUGCAAGUCGAACGGAGUACUUCGGUACUUAGUGGCGGACGGGUGAGUAACGCGUGAGGAUCUGCCCUCAGGAGGGGGACAACGACUGGAAACGGUCGCUAAUACCCCAUAUGCCGAGAGGUGAAAUGUUUUUUCGCCUGAGGAUGAGCUCGCGUCAGAUUAGCUAGUUGGUGGGGUAACGGCCUACCAAGGCGACGAUCUGUAGCUGGUCUGAGAGGAUGAUCAGCCACACUGGGACUGAGACACGGCCCAGACUCCUACGGGAGGCAGCAGUGGGGAAUUUUCCGCAAUGGGCGAAAGCCUGACGGAGCAAGACCGCGUGAGGGAUGACGGCCUAAUGGGUUGUAAACCUCUUUUCUCUGGGAAGAUAAUGACGGUACCAGAGGAAUAAGCCUCGGCUAACUCCGUGCCAGCAGCCGCGGUAAUACGGAGGAGGCAAGCGUUAUCCGGAAUUAUUGGGCGUAAAGCGUCCGUAGGUGGUUAAUCAAGUCAGCUGUUAAAGAGCGGAGCUCAACUCCGUUAGAGCGGUUGAAACUGAUUGACUAGAGUUUGGUAGGGGUCGAGGGAAUUCCCAGUGUAGCGGUGAAAUGCGUAGAUAUUGGGAAGAACACCGGUGGCGAAAGCGCUCGACUGGGCCUGAACUGACACUGAGGGACGAGAGCUAGGGGAGCGAAAGGGAUUAGAUACCCCUGUAGUCCUAGCCGUAA